rnacentral:rRNA from 1 species
UACGAAGGGGGCUAGCGUUGCUCGGAAUCACUGGGCGUAAAGCGCACGUAGGCGGAUUGUUAAGUCAGGGGUGAAAUCCUGGAGCUCAACUCCAGAACUGCCUUUGAUACUGGCGAUCUUGAGUCCGGGAGAGGUGAGUGGAACUGCGAGUGUAGAGGUGAAAUUCGUAGAUAUUCGCAAGAACACCAGUGGCGAAGGCGGCUCACUGGCCCGGUACUGACGCUGAGGAGCGAAAGCGUGGGGAGCGAACAGG